GUGACAUACAGUGAGGCUGCAAGAGAAAAGCAAAACUUAGGAGUCUUGGAAUUGAUUCUCAGUUCUUCCAUUUGGUAAUUUUAACUAAGUUAAUUUCACUUGGGAUAGCUUCUUGUUAUUUGCAAAAUAAAAUCCAGGAUUUUUAUAAAAUAUCUUUUUUAAAUGCCUUUAUAAAAUGUCUUUUUCCUCCAAAGAUGUCACUUCCUACCUGAAGAUCACAAUUCUGAAUUUUAAUAACUGUGAAAUAAGUUUUUUAGGGUUUUGACUUUUCAGAAAUAAACUGGGGAUAAAAGUGAAAAACUAAAGGGUAGACUAGUAAAGUACAUUUAAAGUACCUGGAUGGGAUUUUUCUGUUUCGUUAUUUUUCAUAUCUUAAAAAGAAGUAUUGAAUUAUUAACUAAUCAAAAGUUGUACAUGUUUUAUUAAAAUGAAAGGGAAAAAGUUUUACAUUUAGAAAGAUUUAUAAGAAUUUAAGAUUAACAGUGAUGUUAAAGAUGAGUUAAUUGAAAAACAACCCCUUUCAAGGCUUUUGUGUAUGUUAAGAUGCAAGAAUAUGGCUGGGGUUGUGGCUCAGAGGUAGAAUGCUCACCUAGCAUGUGUAAGGCCAUGGGUUCGAUUUUCAGCACCACAUAAAAAUAAAUAAAUAAAAUAAAGGUAUUAUUUCCAACUACAACUAAAAAAAUAGAUAUUAAAAAAAGAUGCAAGAAUAUAUAAUCUAAAUUAGAUUGUAGAAGUG
rnacentral:lncRNA from 1 species